CAAUAAACAAAGCUCUACGGUUCAUCCUGAGGGGAACAUGAAUGAACCAGUUUAACUGAGAAUCCAUCCAAUAAUUAACUGAACAAUAAAGAAAAACAAAAAACAGUCGUGUUGAUCUGAACAUUAGAGAAAAACCUCAUGGAGCUGAAAUCUGAUCCUGGUUCAUCAUCUGCACUCGUUCACCUCAGCUGACACAUUCAACAGCAGAACAGGUUUUUGUAUCACUCUCUGUUACUGUGAGACUGGAUCUUUGGUUCAGGAACUAAACUGUAUGUAACAGCUUCAGGUGAGCAGGUGCUGAAGCCCGUGGUGAGCGUGUACCCAGCAGCAUCCAGAGACCACCUGGAGGGGAAGAGCUCCCUGCUGUGUGUGUGGCCUCAGACAUGUUUCCUCCUCUGGUCCAGUUCUCCUGGAAAAGACGAAAGGAGAAUUGUCCUCUGGAAGAGCUGCCUCCUGAUGAGGAAGAGCAGCUGGAAUUCAGAGAGUCGGGACGGAUCGCUGCCAUCAGGACAGUGGAUCGAGAUGCUUUCUACACCUAUAAAUACCGCUGCUAUGUCAAACAUGAAGGAGGGACAGUGGAGGCUCAGACACAACGAGUGGUUCCCCUGGAUCCUCUCCAGUCUCAGUACCAGGUGAAGCUGCUCUGUCUGAUCUACACAGUGCUGAUAGUGAAGAGUCUGGUGUACUGCUGUGGACUCUCUCUGCUGAGGAUCCUCACAGACAACGGAGCAUCCAGCAACUACUCACAUGAUGACUGACUGUUUUCAUCAAUCAGAAAAAAAAAGAUUGAAGAUAUUUGUAGAUCCAGAUCAUAGCACUGCCCCCACAGACUUGUACAGUAGACACUAGACAUGAUGGGUGCAUCACUUCACCUCCUCUCUUCUUACCCUGAUCCUCCAUCACUCUGGAACAGGGUCAAUCUGGACUCAUUAGACCACAUGACCUUCUUCCAUUGGACAGUUCUUAACCCAGUUUUAGUUUCAUCAAUCUUCCUAAAUGUUUUCUUUACUUGAUUCCUGCCAAUAAUUUGACUCCUCUGAAACAGAUUAAUGUGACAUGGUCAACUCUUUAACAAAUGAGAAGCUACUCAUUGCAUCAGUUCAAUAACAUGUUACCUGCUGAAACAUAAUCAUCCAUGCAGUUAUUAUCCAGUGUGAGGCUCUUACCUAUUUGCUUAGUUAAAUCCAGGUAGUGAUUUUAAUUUUAAUUUCUUUUUUUUUUUUGGACAGGUCUAUUUUGACACUGUGUCUUUUUAACUUUUAUGCAAUGUAUCAAGUAAAAGUAUCAGUAUCAGCUCUGUAGUAAACAUUUUAUUAUUUAAAAAGGUGUAUUUGUUUUUAUUAUCAUGUUUUCAAUGCAUUAUGCACAGUGCGGCUAAAUUCUUUCAAUGUAAAAGUAUCAAUAGAGUAAAUAACGAGUGCGUUUUAAAACACUCAUGAGUUUUAUUUAUUGUAUUGUUUAGUGCUAGUCAAGGGGAAUUAGUUAGAUUUUCCAUACGAUUUAUAGUUGCACUGUGUUGUUGUGUAAGGUCAUGAACCUUAUAUUGUGAAAUGCCUUGAGAUGACUGCUGUUGUGAUUUGGAGCUUUACAGAUAAACUGAAUUGAAAUUUAAUUAAACUCGCCUGCAUUCACUCACACUAAAAUAAGAAUGGAGAUUUACAAGAUGAC
rnacentral:lncRNA from 1 species